rnacentral:rRNA from 1 species
UACGUAGGGGCCGAGCGUUGUCCGGAGUUACUGGGCGUAAAGCGCGCGCAGGCGGCUGGUCUUGCCCGGCGUGAAAGCCCCCGGCUCAACCGGGGAGGGUCGUCGGGGACGGGCCAGCUUGAGGACGGCAGGGGCAGGUGGAAUUCCCGGUGUAGUGGUGAAAUGCGUAGAGAUCGGGAGGAACACCCGUGGCGAAGGCGGCCUGCUGGGCCGAUCCUGACGCUGAGGCGCGAAGGCGUGGGGAGCGAACGGG